rnacentral:rRNA from 1 species
AACGACUCUCGGCAACGGAUAUCUCGGCUCUCGCAUCGAUGAAGAACGUAGCGAAAUGCGAUACUUGGUGUGAAUUGCAGAAUCCCGUGAACCAUCGAGUCUUUGAACGCAAGUUGUGCCCCAAGCUGUUAGGCUGAGGGCACGUCUGCCUGGGUGUCACGC